UCCGUGAGCUUCAGCGAGGGGUGAGAGCAACUAUCGAGACAAGCAACAUAUGAAACACGGAAAGAAAAGCUAUAAAAGUUUAUUAAAAGUGGAUUUAAAAAAUCCGCUGGAUAACUUCAACUCCGCGAUCCUGUGAGAGCACGGCGAGAGGGACCUGUCAUCACUAGUCACGGAGGAGAAACACAUGGUCAGGUUUUUUGUGGAUCAGGAGAGUUCCAUCCAGACCCACCUGGAGUUGGAGUCUGUUGGACGUUUGAUGGCGAGCUACUAGAGAGUGGAACUAGGAACUCAAUUGCGUGCAGAAGAACAAGCAACAACUUUGUUUCCACACACACACCCAACCAACAUACUCAACAGUGCGAUUGAGAACCGACAGCCAUCUCUGUGAUGUCCUUCGCAUCUCAACCACCACUUACUCCCGACCUGCCAGCCAUCCUUCAGUCCAAAGCACAGCAUCAUAAGUGCAACGCUGUUCCCGUUGUAGGUG